GGCAAGGAAGUGGUAAGAGAAAAAUAAUAGGAUUACUUUGUUAUCCUAUAAAUUUUGGUUAGUGUAGUUGUAGAUAGCCUUAGCUAUGCAUUGCUCUCUUUGAAUUAGUGAACAUUAUCGGGUGGGCCAGAGGAGUUAUCUCAAGCAUUGGGCAUUUUUGGUACUUGAGUAAAUUAAACUAAUGUAUAAGUAUUCAUUAUGUAUAUUAAGUGUGUUAUGCCACUUAAAUUGUAUGAAUGCAUAUUGUAAAUAAAAUAAUGUUAAAUUAUGUUUAUAAAGUUAAUUGUAUA